AUUGAAGGAGCCUCCAUUUGGAUUCUGCCACUGACAGACCAGAAGGAGAUCAUCAGCUCUGGGUCUGCAGGAGGCUUUCUGAACUGAUCCCAGCUCUGGCAGCACCAAAGAGGCAGGAGCAGCCUUCUGACAUUCGAGGGCUGAACCCUCCCCUUUAGGAAGAAGAUGAAGCCAAUAAUCCAGAGAUCACUUGGGACAUAAGUCUUCUGAUUAAAAGACUUCUUUUAGAUCAGAUAUAUAAGACUAUUUCUCACAGCCCUGGCUAAUGCUCUCUUCAUGAGGGCCUUCCUUGAAGGAAGUGAGUAGGCUGCUGUUCUGCAGCUGGAUGUUCUGCUUGAGAGCUAUAAAACCUUUCUUGAUAACAAAUGCUACUUAACUUCAUGUAUUUCUAGGAUAAGUUUUGGAACAGCAGAUUUCAAGCAAUGCACCAUCCAGUUUAGGUAGUAAAUACUAUUGCCAUGGUAUCACCCACAGGCCCUACUUCACUUCUAGCAUGUCCCAACACAGUACAUGGGAGAGACUCCUUUCCUCAUCAGGGGAUCUUCCCUGCAAAUGGAGGAGCAGUCAAAAGGCAUCAGUAACACAAUUUAUAUGACAGCUCCUCUCUAACAAGCUCAGAAUGUUAAUUUGCCAGAACUGGACCCUACUUGCUAUAUUAUUUUGUUAUCUGUCUAAAUUAUUUAGGGAGUCAUUAUGGAACUGAGAAAAGGUUUGGGACUUUGUUUUACAGCACCAAUGCAUAUAUAUAUAUAUAUUUGUCUUCACACACACCUUGUUAGUGAACACUGUUGAAGUUGAAGAGGAGCCUGAUGGAUGUAAUUUUAAUAGCUGGGGCUGAUGCCAACGUUCGGACACUGCUAUUGCAUUUGUACUACGCCUGUCGGGCAGACCUCAGCUGAGUGAAAGCUGACAUGAUGGUUAAACCAGGGCGACCUUGCUUGUGGAGCCCUAUCUGGUGCAAGAGGAAAUAUUCUCUUCCCCUUAUAAAAAGUGAUUCUAGCACAUACUUUCUGGGAUCACAAGGUUGUUUGUGUGUGUCUAUCAGAUCCCUGAAAACUGUGGAUAAGGUGCUUCUUAGGCUGGAGGAAAAUCUUUUUCCACUCUACUUGAUUUUGAGCAAGGAACUGAGAUCAGAUCUGCAUCCUAGGGAAAUGAGCCAGCUUCAAAACUCGUGAAUACUCCACGAUUAGUCUCUAUGUCUCUUCUUCUGGAACUGUACCACCCACUGCAAAGAGGAUGUGAACAUAAACCUGCCAAUUCCAAGGUAGGCAUUCACUGCGUCGGAGAUGGCUGGGCCAAGCAACUUUAGGAGUUCACUGAUGAGAAGUGGGAAUGGAAAUAGAAAGCAUCCACUUCUGUGUGAGUGUUGAGUAGCUGUCUCUGGAUCUGUGCUUGGAAACUUUACCCAUUUCCAACCCCCCCUACUUCUGCAUGACUCUGGCAUUAUAUUAACCU